rnacentral:rRNA from 1 species
AUGAACGCUAGCUACAGGCUUAACACAUGCAAGUCGAGGGGCAGCAUUUUAGUUUGCUUGCAAACUGAAGAUGGCGACCGGCGCACGGGUGAGUAACACGUAUCCAACCUGCCGAUAACUCCGGAAUAGCCUUUCGAAAGAAAGAUUAAUACCGGAUAGCAUACGAAUAUCGCAUGAUAUUUUUAUUAAAGAAUUUCGGUUAUCGAUGGGGAUGCGUUCCAUUAGUUUGUUGGCGGGGUAACGGCCCACCAAGACUACGAUGGAUAGGGGUUCUGAGAGGAAGGUCCCCCACAUUGGAACUGAGACACGGUCCAAACUCCUACGGGAGGCAGCAGUGAGGAAUAUUGGUCAAUGGGCGAGAGCCUGAACCAGCCAAGUAGCGUGAAGGAUGAAGGCUCUAUGGGUCGUAAACUUCUUUUAUAUGGGAAUAAAGUUUUCCACGUGUGGAAUUUUGUAUGUACCAUAUGAAUAAGGAUCGGCUAACUCCGUGCCAGCAGCCGCGGUAAUACGGAGGAUCCGAGCGUUAUCCGGAUUUAUUGGGUUUAAAGGGAGCGUAGGUGGAUUGUUAAGUCAGUUGUGAAAGUUUGCGGCUCAACCGUAAAAUUGCAGUUGAAACUGGCAGUCUUGAGUACAGUAGAGGUGGGCGGAAUUCGUGGUGUAGCGGUGAAAUGCUUAGAUAUCACGAAGAACUCCGAUUGCGAAGGCAGCUCACUAGACUGUCACUGACACUGAUGCUCGAAAGUGUGGGUAUCAAACAGGAUUAGAUACCCUGGUAGUCCACACAGUAAACGAUGAAUACUCGCUGUUUGCGAUAUACAGUAAGCGGCCAAGCGAAAGCAUUAAGUAUUCCACCUGGGGAGUACGCCGGCAACGGUGAAACUCAAAGGAAUUGACGGGGGCCCGCACAAGCGGAGGAACAUGUGGUUUAAUUCGAUGAUACGCGAGGAACCUUACCCGGGCUUAAAUUGCAACAGAAUAUAUUGGAAACAGUAUAGCCGUAAGGCUGUUGUGAAGGUGCUGCAUGGUUGUCGUCAGCUCGUGCCGUGAGGUGUCGGCUUAAGUGCCAUAACGAGCGCAACCCUUAUCUUUAGUUACUAACAGGUGAUGCUGAGGACUCUAGAGAGACUGCCGUCGUAAGAUGUGAGGAAGGUGGGGAUGACGUCAAAUCAGCACGGCCCUUACGUCCGGGGCUACACACGUGUUACAAUGGGGGGUACAGAAGGCGGCUACCUGGUGACAGGAUGCUAAUCCCAAAAACCUCUCUCAGUUCGGAUCGAAGUCUGCAACCCGACUUCGUGAAGCUGGAUUCGCUAGUAAUCGCGCAUCAGCCAUGGCGCGGUGAAUACGUUCCCGGGCCUUGUACACACCGCCCGUCAAGCCAUGAAAGCCGGGGGUACCUGAAGUACGUAACCGCAAGGAGCGUCCUAGGGUAAAACUGGUAAUUGGGGCU